CUGGGACCCACAGGAAUUCCCUCCCUUCAGUCCCGGGGGGAGGCGGCCGCGAUCCUGGGGGAGGCGCAGCCUCACAACCCGGACUUUGCGGGCGGGCGGGCACUGGUGAGAAGAGGAAGUGGGAGAGGCCUGGGAAGGAAACUUGGAAACCGAAAACUCGGCGGCCGAGGCUCCGUGCCCCGCGCGCAGCGCUGCUCCUGCCCCGGCCAAGGACGCACGGGCCAGCCGGCGGAACCAGAGGUUUUCAGUGAUGUUGAGAGUCAACAGGAAAUUAAUCAGCAAGUAGAAAAUUGAAAGAAGAUCUGCAUCUUACUGCAGGAGUCAUUAAAAUAAAAGCAGAUUUGGCAAAAUGGCAAGAACCAGAGGAUGAGGAUGUAAAACAAAAACUUUUGGAGUCAUUUUGCCACCAGGAUGAAAAUAGGAUGAAGCUGACAUGACAAAGGUGCAGGGGGCAACUAUUGCAUCCAGAAAAAAAAAAAAUGAAGAUAAUGACUUCUCUGCAACUAAGAUGAAGAUCCACUGAACUUUGGGGUUUGAAAUGCAACGUUAGAACUUCAGACUCCCGGCACCUAGGUCUCCAGCUGCUGGGUGGUGCCAGCAUCAGAGAUACACUCUGCAAAACAUAUACUGUCUUAGGAAAAAGUGACCCUGUUGUCCUUUCAGGCCCAUAUUCCACAAGAAGACAAAUGGAGAUGUAAAAGGAAAACUGCAGCUCCGACUGAAGAGAGAGCAAGUUGUCUGUUCUGAUACAGCCAGGAAAUAAGAUGUUCUGGUUAAUAUGUGCUAAAGAUGUGGUGCUGACUUUCCGACUCAGAAUAUGAUCACAUGUUUUUCUCAUUAAAACUAUAUUGAAUAUUAUUUGACCAUUGUUGAGUCAGUCAUCUUGAUAAAUAUUAUCUUCGUACAGUCCUGAGCAGAGAGUCAGUGACUAGAAUGCCACUGAAACCAGCUUUUUAUAGGACACGGUUUUCAUGGUUUUAGGGCAUGGAGAAACUU
rnacentral:lncRNA from 1 species